rnacentral:rRNA from 1 species
UACGAAGGGUGCUAGCGUUGUUCGGAAUCACUGGGCGUAAAGCGCACGUAGGCGGCUUUCUAAGUCAGGGGGUGAAAUCCUGGAGCUCAACUCCAGAACUGCCUUUGAUACUGGAGAGCUCGAGUCCGGAAGAGGUGAGUGGAAUUCCGAGUGUAGAGGUGAAAUUCGUAGAUAUUAGGAAGAACACCAGUGGCGAAGGCGGCUCACUGGUCCGGUACUGGACGCUGAGGUGCGAAAGCGUGGGGAGCAAACAGG